AAAAAAAUAAGUUACAAAGAUGAAUAAUGCUCAUAACGCCUCAUUAAUUGUUUAUACGUUUUUGUGUUAUUGUUUGUUUAAUAUGUAAGUAUUUAAAACCAUUAUUAUUUAUUACCAAUCAACAUUUAUAUUGUUGGGUAAACAAAUUUCGGAACAUCUUUCGUCUUGUUAAUGUAGCUGGCAAGCAAAGCGGCGUUAUGAAUAAAUUUAAGUUGCUAUAGAAACAAUGUUCUGUUGAUUGUCACUUGUGUCAUAGAAAAUAAAAAGAGCUAUCCAUUGUGUAUUCCUACUGUUGUAAUAAAUUAAUUUCGUGGACAAAUCUAUCUUCUAUUUUUCUACUGUAAAAUCACACUCAGCCACACGCUCACACACGUCUGACAUUGAAAAGACAGGGAUUUUUCUUGUUUUGACGUAUUUUCUAACCUCUUAGAAUGUUAUUAAAAGUCGUAAUAAAAUAAUUUGAAUAUAAAGCUAUGUUUUAAAGUAAAUAAAGACCAUUUAACGAUGUUAACAUGAUGAGACAUCGAUUUUAUGGAAUGGAGGAGAAGAUUUAACAGCUAGAAAUUAACAAAAAUCCUGCAAGAGCAUCGAGAUCUCGCUUUUGGCGAGUGGAAGUCCAAAGGCAAAGUGCAGCGGUUUGCAGUUCUUAGCCUCACUUUUUUGGACCUAACAAGACAGGAAAAGAAUAGUCAAAGAGGAAACCCGAGUAGCCAGAUGAUAAUA